AUUGAACGCUGGCGGCAGGCCUAACACAUGCAAGUCGAGCGGAUGAAGGGAGCUUGCUCCAGGAUUCAGCGGCGGACGGGUGAGUAAUGCCUAGGAAUCUGCCUGGUAGUGGGGGAUAACGUCCGGAAACGGGCGCUAAUACCGCAUACGUCCUGAGGGAGAAAGUGGGGGAUCUUCGGACCUCACGCUAUCAGAUGAGCCUAGGUCGGAUUAGCUAGUUGGUGGGGUAAAGGCCUACCAAGGCGACGAUCCGUAACUGGUCUGAGGAUGAUCAGUCACACUGGAACUGAGACACGGUCCAGACUCCUACGGGAGGCAGCAGUGGGGAAUAUUGGACAAUGGGCGAAAGCCUGAUCCAGCCAUGCCGCGUGUGUGAAGAAGGUCUUCGGAUUGUAAAGCACUUUAAGUUGGGAGGAAGGGCAGUAAGUUAAUACCUUGCUGUUUUGACGUUACCAACAGAAUAAGCACCGGCUAACUUCGUG
rnacentral:rRNA from 1 species